rnacentral:rRNA from 1 species
UAGAGUUUGAUCCUGGCUCAGGACGAACGCUGGCGGCGCGCCUAACACAUGCAAGUCGAACGGUGAAAUGAAGCUUGCUUCAUGGAUCAGUGGCGGACGGGUGAGUAACACGUGAGCAACCUGCCUUUCAGAGGGGGACAACAGUUGGAAACGACUGCUAAUACCGCAUAACGUGCCGAGGAGGCAUCUUCUUGGUACCAAAGAUUUAUCGCUGAAAGAUGGGCUCGCGUCUGAUUAGAUAGUUGGUGAGGUAACGGCCCACCAAGUCGACGAUCAGUAGCCGGACUGAGAGGUUGAUCGGCCACAUUGGGACUGAGACACGGCCCAGACUCCUACGGGAGGCAGCAGUGGGGAAUAUUGGACAAUGGGGGAAACCCUUAUCCAGCGACGCCGCGUGAGGGAAGAAGGUUUUCGGAUUGUAAACCUCUGUCAGCGGGGACGAUAAUGACGGUACCCGCGGAGGAAGCCACGGCUAACUACGUGCCAGCAGCCGCGGUAAUACGUAGGUGGCAAGCGUUGUCCGGAAUUACUGGGUGUAAAGGGAGCGUAGGCGGGAUGUCAAGUCAGAAGUGAAAAUUACGGGCUCAACUCGUAACCUGCUUUUGAAACUGAUAUUCUUGAGUGAAGUAGAGGCAAGCGGAAUCCCUAGUGUAGCGGCGAAAUGCGUAGAUAUUAGGAGGAACACCAGUGGCGAAGGCGGCUUGCUGGGCUUUUACUGACGCUGAGGCUCGAAAGCGUGGGGAGCAAACAGGAUU